UUCGGUAAAGAGCGGCGGACGGGUGAGUAACGCGUGGGUAACCUACCCUGUACACACGGAUAACAUACCGAAAGGUAUGCUAAUACGGGAUAAUAUAUUUGGGAGGCAUCUCUUGAAUAUCAAAGGUGAGCCAGUACAGGAUGGACCCGCGUCUGAUUAGCUAGUUGGUAAGGUAACGGCUUACCAAGGCGACGAUCAGUAGCCGACCUGGGAGGGUGAUCGGCCACAUUGGAACUGAGACACGGUCCAAACUCCUACGGGAGGCAGCAGUGGGGAAUAUUGCACAAUGGGCGAAAGCCUGAUGCAGCAACGCCGCGUGAGUGAUGAAGGCCUUCGGG
rnacentral:rRNA from 1 species